UGGGGAAUAUUGCACAAUGGGCGCAAGCCUGAUGCAGCCAUGCCGCGUGUAUGAAGAAGGCCUUCGGGCUGUAAAGUACUUUCAGUCGAGAGGAAGGUGUCAAGGUUAAUAACCUUGGCAAUUGACGUUACCGACAGAAGAAGCACCGGCUAACUCCGUGCCAGCAGCCGCGGUAAUACGGAGGGUGCAAGCGUUAAUCGGAAUUACUGGGCGUAAAGCGCACGCAGGCGGUCUGUCAAGUCGGAUGUGAAAUCCCCGGGCUCAACCUGGGAACUGCAUUCGAAACUGGCAGGCUAGAGUCUUGUAGAGGGGGGUAGAAUUCCAGGUGUAGCGGUGAAAUGCGUAGAGAUCUGGAGGAAUACCGGUGGCGAAGGCGGCCCACUAGACAAAGACUGACGCUCAGGUGCGAAAGCGUGGGGAGCAAACAGG
rnacentral:rRNA from 1 species